GGAAGGGUGGCGGAGAGGCUUAUCGCCAUCGGUUGCUAACCGAUCGCUCCCCAGGGAGCCGCAGGUCCGAAUCCUGCCCCUUCCG
rnacentral:tRNA from 1 species